UCGGAUAUGGUGUAAAGGCUAACAUUGCCGCCUCUCAUGCAAAGGUUUAGCUGUUCUUUCUGCGCCGCAGCUCGGGGUUCGAUUCCCCGUAUCCGAA